rnacentral:misc_RNA from 1 species
GAUGAAGAACGUAGCGAAAUGCGAUAAGUAGUGUGAAUUGCAGACUUUAGUGAAUCAUCGAAUCUUUGAACGCACAUUGCGCCCCUUGGUAUUCCAUUGGGCAUGCCUGUUCGAGCGUCAUUUACACCCUCAAGCCUAGCUUGGUGUUGGGCGUUGUCCGCAAGGACUCGCCUCAAAUUCAUUGGCAGCGGCAUCGUCAGCUUCUCGCGCAGCACAUUGCGCUUCAGAAGGCUUCUGGCGGGCUCGCGUCCACUAAGAUACCACCCAGUUUGACCUCGAAUCUGGUAGGGAUACCCGCUGAACUUAAGCUUAUCAAUAAGCGGAGGA